AAACAUAUGCAAACUUAAAAUAACUUUGCAAUUAUCUUGCAGUUACUUGGUAGUGGUAUGGCAAAUUACCGAGAUAGCACAAAUUCACAGGCAGAAUAUCACCAGUUAAGUGUCAUUGUUCCAGCACAUUCCAAGGGAAAUUGUACUUAUAAUUUUCUCCCAAAUAAGAUAUGAAUAAUUUACAUUGGCAUUAUUAGACUGAGCUCUGUAAAACUAGCAUUGUUACAGAUCAAAAAUAGUUAAGCCUAGUCAGAUCCAUAUAGUUUAACCUGAGGUUAAAAUAAUGGUAAAAAUAUAGGCAAUUUGAGCUGUUUUCACCUAUUAUGAUAUAUGCGUUUCUUCAAUUUAGCUAUUGGGGAAAAAUAAAAAAAAGACCAAAAUAUUCUGUAUGCCUCAGCAUCUGCCAUGAGGUUAUACCGAGAGCCCACAACAAAUUAAAUAACACUGACAGAGCUGAGGUAACAGCAAGCUAUCAUUCAAGAGCAGAAAAACAGUGAUAGAAAUUGCUUGUCAAUUCAAGAGAAUGGCAGCGACACCCAGUAAUGAAGAGGUAGGGAAUUGUGGGUUUGCCAACUGUGUGCGUGCUCAGGAACCAGGGAGCCAACACAUCAUUACGCCUCCUGCCUCUCCACCAAACAUUGAAUUGGAGCAUGUGAGAAAGUCUAGCAAUGACCUAAUUUUAGCUUAUGAAAACCACACUGUAGUUACCCUUAAUAACACAAUUAUGGGAUUGCAAGGAAGGAGCCCAUAAUUGCAUGUAAAAAUUAAAGUUUAAAGGAUUUAGUUUCAUUUCUCUGUUAGAAUCAUUCAUAGGUCUUACAAGUUGCGGGGUGAGUCCCUGGCUCAUUCUAGAGAGCUCCCACUGCCCACUAGUAGCGGGUAGCCAGACUUUAGGUAUGCACAUUUAAAAGUCACUGUCCUGAUUCGUAAAAUGGAGAUAAUUUUACAUACAUAACAGGGUCAUUCUGGGAUGCAGAAGACACUGUGCUAUAGAAUGUCUAAUGCCUUAACUGGUAAAAAGAAAGUGGUCCAUGGGUGGCAUUAUUAGCACAGUGACCAUUAUCAUUGAGCAUAGAUGGGUUAUGUAGUGACUUGCUGGUACUAAAGGGCAAGCUCGGGUCUCAGGAGCCUGAAGGAUGCAGGUAGGAGGGUGAUCAUAUCUCUCCUAUUUGUUCCUCACUGUUUUCUCAUUCACUGUGUCACAGUGGCAGAUGGACAUCUGUUGCUGGAGGACGUAGGACACUCUGGGGAAGGAUAUUUCUGUUUUUUUUAAAUCCUGUUUAUUUAAAACAAUAUUUCUAUUAUUUUGUUGAGCAUUUCAUACACUCUAUUUUGAUCCUAUUCCCCUCUCAUAUUCUCCAAGAUCCACCUCUAUCUCCUCCUCAUUCGAUUCCACAGCUCCUUUUCUGUCCUUUGUACUGAGUCCAGUGUGUGCUUGAGUCCAGUGCGUGCUGCCCACACCCACUUGGGUGUAGGGCCAUCUCCUGCAACAUGAUUGACUAACCAGAGGCUACGCCCUUUAUGAAAACUGACUCUCCCUCUCCUGGCAGUAUCAGCUUCUAAUGGCUCCACAGUCGGGGUAACAGAAAGGACAGAGAAGGGGGUUCACUCAGCUCACACGGAGGCACACUUGUGUACACGCGCGCAUGCGCACACAUACACACAUGCUUCUCAGCUACCGCAUCUCCUCCUUUCCAGAUUGUCCAUCUGUAGAACUUGACACUAUUGUCACUAUUAUGUAUCCCAGAAAGCACCACUCAAUUUUCUCACUUGUCACUUUGGAGGACACUUUGGGGUUUCUUUCCUUUCUUCUCUCCCUUAGUUGCCCACAUUUUAAGAGGAAGCCAAACAAGAGAAGGCUCGACCACGCUGAUCUGAGAAACAGAAAGUGCAAGAUACAAGAGCUCUGCCUGCUGCUCAGUGGCAAGCUUGACUGGCUGCUAAAACUCUCUUGGGAACAAGGAAAAUGCCACAGGAGAGGAUUUCUAGAGUUCUGUGGCAUCUUUAACAAGUCUGAUGCAGAUAGAAGCAACCUGAAAUACUCUCGAGGGACACUUGGAGCAUUUAGUAAAUAAUGAUGAAGGAAGAGGAGCAUCUGUGUGUGCACAUAUAUGUGCAUAUGUGUUAGGUGGUGACAGCAGACUCGCUUGGUCAGCUGUGCAUCCUGCCAGAUGUGCACCAUGCAAUGUAGCACAGUGAGGCAGAGGCAUCACAGUAAGCAGAAUUCAGAGUUCACAGUCUGACCCAGAGAUGCAGAUUGCAUUUAACUGUACCCAUCGACGUGCAACUAGUGGCUGCCUUAUUGGACAGCACCAAGGAAAAGACUGCUAAUGGUGUGAAAUGCCACAGAACAAGGAAGAACAUGACAGAAUUUUCAUGGGACUCAUCAGACUGAGGAGGAUGGCUUCGGAAGGAUGCAGACGAAUCGUUGCCUCCCACAGUUCCCUCUCAACUUUGCCCUGCUGGGCUCUCUCCAUUCAAUUAUGUUUCUCCAGCUUCCAAUUUUUUUUCUACCACCAACCCACUCAGUCAUUUUCUGCCAAUGGCAGGCUCUGGAAAGCAGUUCCCUCAGGCCUCCCAGUGACAGGUGCCUGGGCUGUUCUAGUGCUGUUUACAGGAAGUACUUGAACUAUUCUAGCCACAAAGGGUGAGCUCUUUGCAUUUUUUCCCAAGUCAGCUAAGGAACAGGAAGCCAUGUUCAAUUGUUGCUUGCCCAAGAGUGAUGCUCAUAGCCCUCUCCUGGUUGGUGUUUUUCCGAACAAUGGAAAUAAAUCUGAUGUAAUGUAGCAGAACACGACAAAGGACGGCUUUCCCCUUAACAAAUCCUCAUUUGAAAUGGUGCCCAAACCCUGCACGAGGAGCGAUCUAUUUCCCACAACAGUGUUACAGCAAAACCCAUUACUAAUUCCACAACUCAAAUUAAAACUAACAGAGCUUGAAGGCUGGGGCUGACACUCUCUCUGCUGACAAGGAACAAGGAAGGGUGGAGGAAGGAGCCGGCUCACUCUCAUGUGUGUGUGUUUAAUUACACUGUUUAACACAUGGAGAAUAAUUUAGUCACCAGAGUGGAGAAAAUAAGGCACUUAACUGCUCUCUGGUGGAAAAACACCCGGAGCAAACCACUUUUAGCUAUAUGGCACCUUGACAUACCUCAGAGCUUUGGGGAGAGAAAAAGAGGGAGGGGAGCAAGGGGGAAGAGAGAGAGAGAGAAAGAGAGAGAGAGAGAGAGAGAGAGAGAGAGAGAGAGAGAGAGACCAGUGAGAUAGAGCCAAGGAGAGUGUGCAACUAGGGGCAGAGAAAGACAGGAGAGGGGAAGGAGGGGAAGAAAGAAGAAAGAGAAAAUGGAAGGAACAGGAAGUGGACAGAGAAGAAGCAAGGGAGAGCGAUAUAGGAAGAAAGAGACCUUGGCACAUAGAUUUAUACUCUCAGGAGAGCUUGAGGGAUUUGGUGCCAGUGUGAGAGUGAGCACUGAUGGCAGGCCUUGAAGAUGGAGCUAAACUUCUGGGUGAGUGUUGACCUGAGUUCUGUUCAUGCCUCAGAUACCUCAGGAAGAUACGAGUCCUCCAUAGCCUAAAAGCCAUGGGCGGAGAAAGGCAGAUGUAAGAGGGAGAUUCUGGUAGUUUCUUUUCCUGUUGUUGUGUAAAUACUUUAUCAAAAGCAACUUUAGGGAGAAAGGAACUGUUUUAGUUCAUAGUUCAAGGUAUAGCCUAUCACCGUGGGGAUUCAAGACAGGAGGGGACUUGGAUCGAGUUACAUCACACCUGUCAUUGGAAAUAGAGGGGUACAUGCAUGUGCUCAGUUCUCUUUCUCCAUUUUAUAUCGUGUAGGAUUCCCCUGUUAGGGAAUAAUGCCAUUCAAAGUUUAAACGGGCCUUUCCACAUCAAUUAAUGUGAUGAAGGUAAUCCCCUUCAGGUCUGCCCAUGACCUUAUCUGUUAGUUUAUUACAGAUCCAGUCAAGCUGACAAGCAGCGUCUUCAUAAAGAUUGUAGCGGGUUCCAUUUGCAGAAAAGGAAACCAAGGCUCAAAGUCAAGCUUGAGGAGCUGGGCAACACUGGUGGGCUUCUGUGCUAGCCCCUGGCUUCAAGGCUGGAAAUCUGGCCUGCAAGUAACCUAUGUACUAUGCCCUUAAUCAGGGCUGAAAGGGAUUGGAGUACACAAGUGUCUUCCAUUCUCUGAGAUAAUCUCUAAUCCACCAACUGGCCAUGGGAGUGGGGGACAUGAGAGAAACCAGGCUCGGAUUUAGAAGCAGUGAAGCGUCUCAGCUCUGCAGCAGGUGCCAGGGAAGUGAGCGCUCAGAAUAGAACUAUCUAGCGUCUGCCAGUGAUGGGGCUUAGCUUCAGUGCAGGCUGCCAAGGAGACUGACAACUUGGCAUGAGAGCACAGAGUGCAGAAGAUUGCUUCUGUAGGUCAGCAGACAUGCAGUCACACCAUCCUUUUUCCCACUGUUCUGGCACACGGACCCAGCACCCAUCUUCCCAUCCUCCCAUCCUCCCAUCCCGCUCACAGCCUCUCAACCUCUGAACCUUACAGCCUCACAGCCUCCCAUUCUCCUAGUCUCCAGCUUCCCAGCCUCCCAGCCUCCCAGCCUCCCAGCCUCCCAGCCUCAGAGCGUUCAUAGAGCUUAACUGAUAGGAACAUGUCAGGAAAGCCCAGUGACGGAGAGAAUGGAAAGGAUCUAUGUGUCCUCUCUCAUCUCAGACACAACGUUGCCUCCUCUAGACUCAGUUUCUCCCUUUGGAAGAUUAAGAAAAUUGGACUUUCUUUUCUAAGUUUCAUUAGCCCCUUUAAAUAUAUGGUCUGAUUUCCGAUGCUAAGAAUAGGUAUGGACCCUAAAAAUUUCCAGAGGAGUAUGGCUGAGUUCCUUGUUAUUCUGUUUAAGUAAGUUUGUAUCCCAACACCCACAAGGAAGACAGUUUGUCUUGGUAUCUUUUCUCUAUCGAAGGAUCUUUGAUGGGUGUCACUCUGUUAGGAAAGACACCUAGAAAGCUCUUGAGCAGAUUCUUAGCUUUAUUCUACCAACAAGGUAGGCUUCCUUCUGGAUUCUACAGCUGGAUGCACUCCAGAGAAAUUGUAUAGGAUUUGCCACAUUCCUAGACUUCUGGGGGUAGGUUUUUUUCAUCUAUGAGGAAAACUUAACUUAUUCAAAUUUCCUCUUUAGCACAUCAGGAAGACUUAGGGAGUUGGAGCUGAGCAUGUACUAAGCUAAAAUACCAGGUCAUAAUGAGCUUCUGUUUUUGAACAAAGUUCCAGAGGAAGGAUCUAGCCCUCCCAUCACUUCUCAAAGACCAAAUCAGACAACACUAGAUUUAGAAUCUUUCUUCCCUUCCCAUUCUUUAAAAAAAAAUUAAUAGAAGUUAAGGUCAUAUUUAUGUAAUUCACUUAUUCUUAAAAGAUCACCCGUUGGCCUUUCUUCUUAGUCUUCCAUUGACACGAAACAGAGAGAGAAUGGAUGAGAGAAUCAGACAAAGGCUGGGAGAGCACACAGAGAAAAAGAGAUCCAGACAGAAAGAGUCCAGAGACAGCCACUCAGUGGGAACUGGGACUAUGGAGAAGAGACCUAAGGCAUACAGGGACAAGAUGCAGGAUCUGCCUGGGCUGGGUGUUCUCCUGUAUUAGCCUGGGCUGGGCAUUUUCCUGUAUCAGCCUAUAGUACUGAAGCUGUACAAUACCAGGACUGCCCCAUCUCCACAGUGAGCAUUCAAGUAUAGUCCGGAAAAUAGACACAUUUGCUGUGAUCCACCCCUAGAUGGAGUUCUCGAAGGCUACUCUCCACCCCUCUAUCUCUGCCUCUGGCUUCAACAAGGGAGAGGAGAAAAGUCAGUGGAGUCAGAAGGUGUGGGCCUCUUCUCAGUUGGCCUGACAUACCACCUUGUGGCCUGGCUAUUUGGGGCAUUUGAGGCCAGUGUUAAACUCACAAAUGUGUGGUAGAGUCCUGGAGUGGAAACCGGGCCUAACUCCGACCCUAUCUGGCCCUUUCCAACAUAAAGAGGAAGAAUAGCAGUAUCAACAGCCAAGGGGAAUUUUGAUCAAGGGGACCAUUCUCCUUUCCUGGAAGCAAUCUGGGACACCUAGUGAUGGUCCCAGGUUCUAAGCCACAUUUCCAAGUAGGUAAGGUCACACCUCUGGGCUCAGGGAUAGGGUGUGGACCAAUGGGAGGACUGAAGUCUUCAGAAAACAAAACUUCCUUAUUAAGUAUGUCAAAGAGCACUAUGAAAGAGAACAGACUUUGGUAAUGAGGGAGGGGAGGCAGAGACAGGCAAGCUUGGAAGGGUGGUGAAGCCUCUAAGGCAGCCCAUGUGCCUUUCUCCAUCCAUUCACACUCCCCAUGCCUUAGAUUUCCAAGUGGAGCUAGAUGACUUGUGAGAAGGACUGUGGGUGCAGAGGAAAACCAGUAAUAGAAAGAAAUGGUUUAGAAGCCUGCUGGUAAGGAAGUGUGGGGCAGGUAUGGACAGGACAGGCCUAAGAGGA
rnacentral:sRNA from 1 species